rnacentral:rRNA from 1 species
AUUGAACGCUGGCGGCAGGCUUAACACAUGCACGUCGAACGAGUGGCGGACGGGUGAGUAAUGUCUGGGAAACUGCCUGAUGGAGGGGGAUAACUACUGGAAACGGUAGCUAAUACCGCAUACCAUCAGAUGUGCCCAGAUGGGAUUAGCUAGUGGGUGGGGGAAUGGCUCACCAAGGCGACGAUCCCUAGCUGGUCUGGGAGGAUGACCAGCAACACUGGAACUGAGACACGGUCCAGACUCCUACGGGAGGCAGCAGUGGGGAAUAUUGCACAAUGGGCGCAAGCCUGAUGCAGCCAUGCCGCGUGUGUGAAGAAGGCCUUUGGGUUGUAAAGUACUUUCAGCGAGGAGGCGUUACCCGCAGAAGAAGCACCGGCUAACUCCGUGCCAGCAGCCGCGGUAAUUC